UACGUAGGGCGCAAGCGUUAUCCGGAAUUAUUGGGCGUAAAGAGCUCGUAGGCGGUUUGUCGCGUCUGCCGUGAAAGUCCGGGGCUCAACUCCGGAUCUGCGGUGGGUACGGGCAGACUAGAGUGAUGUAGGGGAGACUGGAAUUCCUGGUGUAGCGGUGAAAUGCGCAGAGAUCGGGAGGAACACCAAUGGCGAAAGCAGGUAACUGGACUAUUACUGACACUCAACUGCGAAAGCUAGGGGAGCAAACAGG
rnacentral:rRNA from 1 species